rnacentral:rRNA from 1 species
GAUCGCAUGAUCAGCUUUUUAAAAGGCGGCGUAAAGCUGUCGCUAUGGGGAUGGGCCCCCGCGGUGCAUUAGCUAGUUGGUAAAGGUAAAAGGGCUUACCAAGGCGAUGAUGCAUAGCCCGAGUUGAGAGACUGAUCGGCCACAUUGGGACUGAGACACGGCCCAAACUCCUACGGGAGGCAGCAGUAGGGAAUCUUCCACAAUGGACGCAAGUCUGAUGGAGCAACGCCGCGUGAGUGAAGAAGGUUUUCGGAUCGUAAAGCUCUGUUGUUGGUGAAGAAGGAUAGAGGUAGUAACUGGCCUUUAUUUGACGGUAAUCAACCAGAAAAGUCACGGGCUAACUACGUGCCAGCAGCCGCGGUAAAU